GGAGACCCAGACUCACCCUGGUUCUUGAGGGUUGAAGACAGCGAAAAAGUAUCAUUAAGUAAAUGGGACUUUUCAAUUCUUGAAUACAAAUCUUUAAUGAACAUGAAUUUAAAUACAAUUGACUUGAGGAUCAGAGCAGGCAGGCUGACUAGCUAGCCCUGAAGGCCCUCUGCCUCUACCUCUGUGUGGUUCAUCUCAACCAAGAGGUUGUGUGGGUUGUCUUUCUCUCUGUGGGUGUGAAUCACUAUGACCUCUCCCUCUGCCUGCCAUUUGGCUGAUCAGAAGCCUUCUGCUCUUUCUUGCUCACAUGAACAGGAGGAAUGGCCUCCUCCUCUAUCUAAUGCCUCUUCCACCUCCUCUUUCUGGCUGUGUUCGACUGAGGUCACUUGUUCUCUCUCCCUGGGUGUUGGAUAGAGGAGGAGGCCAUUCCUCCUGUUCAUGUGAGCAAGAAAGAGCAGAAGGCUUCUGAUCAGCCAAAUGGCAGGCAGAGGGAGAGGUCAUAGUGAUUCACACCCACAGAGAGAAAGACAACCCACACAACCUCUUGGUUGAGAUGAACCACACAGAGGUAGAGGCAGAGGGCCUUCAGGGCUAGCUAGUCAGCCUGCCUGCUCUGAUCCUCAAGUCAAUUGUAUUUAAAUUCAUGUUCAUUAAAGAUUUGUAUUCAAGAAUUGAAAAGUCCCAUUUACUUAAUGAUACUUUUUCGCUGUCUUCAACCCUCAAGAACCAGGGUGAGUCUGGGUCUCCCUUUUCCUGGGCAAACACAACUUGCAUAUCGUCAUAGACUAGGCCGAAACGUUAAUCUUUUAACCUUGCUUGAAUAAAGCAAUGCAUUUUUUAUAGUGAGCAAGAGUUGCGCUUUUUCCUUUUCUAUGAUCAUUCAAGUUUUUGGUUGCACCUCAACUCAACGUUGGUUUCUGUUUAUUUUAUUUUUACAGGGACAGUGCACAUUUAUCAACGUUUCAGUUAAGCCAGUUAGCCAGCCGGCUAAUUUUCAACCGCAGUCCCUGGGCAGGUUAUUAAAAAACAAUUACAAAUAGACAAUCAUUGAGCAGUGAGCACACGCAGAGCAACAUAGGACAAGCAAGACGUAGCAUACAGACAGAGCAACAUAGAAGAAAAAGCAACAAGACAAAAUCCAUUAAAGCAACAGUGUUUCCACACCUCACAAGCUACAGACAACAUGGAAAGCGGCAAUAUACAGCUAGGGAUUAUGUUCACAAAUAUGAUUGACGCCCACUUUUUUUGCACUAUGUUUGAAGGCUGUCAAAUUCUUGUCAGGAGGAGAAUCACUUAGCCUUUCAACUAAUUUUCAAAUGAUAGGAUGCCUAUUUAAAAACACUUUUUCCACAUUUCAAGAUAGCAGUUAGUUCAGUUUGAUCUUAUUAAAGACAGCUGUAUCAUUUUUUUAUUCAUUUUGACAUAUUGUUUGGGACCACUUUUUUUGCUCUGUUUGAAGGCUGUCAGCUUCUUCUCAGGAGGAGAAUCACUUAGCCUUUCAACUAAUUUUCAAAUGAUAGGAUGCCUAUUUAAAAACACUUUUUCAACAUUUCAAGAUAGCAGUUAGUUCAGUUUGAUCUUAU
rnacentral:lncRNA from 1 species